rnacentral:rRNA from 1 species
CCUACGGGAGGCAGCAGUAGGGAAUAUUGGUCAAUGGAGGCAACUCUGAACCAGCCAUUCCGCGUGCAGGAAUAAGGCCUAUGGGUCGUAAACUGCUUUUGUAUGGGAAAUGGUACCAUGAGAAUAAGGAUCGGCUAACUUCGUGCCAGCAGCCGCGGUAAUACGAAGGAUCCAAGCGUUGUCCGGAUUUACUGGGUUUAAAGGGUGCGUAGGCGGGGAAUUAAGUCAGUGGUGAAAGCUGGUAGCUCAACUAUCAAAUUGCCAUUGAAACUGAUUUUCUCGAGUACGGUUGAGGUAGCUGGAAUGUAACAUGUAGCGGUGAAAUGCUUAGAUAUGUUACAGAACACCAAUUGCGAAGGCAGGCUACUAAACCGUACUGACGCUGAGGCACGAAAGCGUGGGGAUCAAACAGGAUUAGAUACCCUAGUAGUC